rnacentral:miRNA from 1 species
UCCGACCUUGGUCCGCUGGACU